AGAGUUUGAUCCUGGCUCAGAUUGAACGCUGGCGGCAUGCCUUACACAUGCAAGUCGAACGGCAGCACGGGAGCAAUCCUGGUGGCGAGUGGCGAACGGGUGAGUAAUAUAUCGGAACGUGCCCAGUCGUGGGGGAUAACGCAGCGAAAGCUGUGCUAAUACCGCAUACGAUCUCUGGAUGAAAGCGGGGGACUCGCAAGGGCCUCGCGCGAUUGGAGCGGCCGAUAUCAGAUUAGCUAGUUGGUGGGGUAAAAGCCCACCAAGGCGACGAUCUGUAGCUGGUCUGAGAGGACGACCAGCCACACUGGAACUGAGACACGGUCCAGACUCCUACGGGAGGCAGCAGUGGGGAAUUUUGGACAAUGGGCGCAAGCCUGAUCCAGCAAUGCCGCGAGCAGGAUGAAGGCCUUCGGGUUGUAAACUGCUUUUGUACGGAACGAAACGGCGAGCUCUA
rnacentral:rRNA from 1 species